rnacentral:lncRNA from 1 species
GGAGGUGACUCUCUCAGGAGGUUGAAUAGGGUUAGAAAGACGGCAUGACUAUAUCUCUAAUGUAGACCUAAAGUGCUUCCUAGAGCUAGGGACCAGGAUUCUAAAUGAGACCUGAGGGAAUGGAGCUGUUGUUGACAAGAGCUGUUAGACAAACAGGACAUGGAGGAGGAGUGGUCAUGCAUACCUCAAUGGGACAAAGUAUCUCCUCUGAGACUUCAGAAAAUCCUUUUCUUCUGGAGCCACUCUGUUCUGGAUUACCCUGAGAUUUUAAUGAGAUAAAGUCUAGAGAUGUAUAUAACUUUUCUGCAUCAUUUUGGAAUUUUAAUGAGAUGAAACGAGACCCAGAGACACCUGUUCUAGACCACUUUGGGAUCUUAAUGAGGAUGCAAACAGGUUGAAGACAAGAGCUCUCUUUAAUGGAACCUGAACAGUGCCUAACUCCUGUAGAUAUUCACUGAAUGUUAAAUAACAACAGUGAUCAUGUAAUAAUGAUGCCCAAUUCACUUGGGAGAGAAUACCAAAUAGCUUGGAAUUUUCCUGUUACUGCCAGCAUGGCCUGAGAGCAUCCUGAGAGAGGUCAAAAGUCCGUCUGACUCACCUGUGCUGAGUGACUUGAAUGCCAUCUAAUCUAACUUCAAGUGUAAGAAUUCUGGACCCUUAUUUGAAGUCUCUCCUGCUUUGUUGGGCAAAAGUAAUGAGAAACUCCACUUGGCUUCAGAAUGCAGUGUCAACUCCACAUGAAUCAAAGCAAUAAAAAAGAAUCAACUCAGAGCAGGCUGAGCUAUGUGAGGUGAGGACAGUCUGUUCUGAAGGUCUACACAUUAAUGCUUCCUAUUGGGAAUUCAAAUCGGCAAUUUGUUCUUCUUCUGGUUGUUUGAAUCUUCAAAAUAGAGGGAAGACACCUGGAUGAAACAUUUUCACAGACUCUGCAAUUCCCUUAAGAGGAUCCCAGAGCCCUUAAGCUUCUCUUAGAUUCCUCUGAUUUUUUUCAGCCCAAGGACUGUUACCACAUGUCUUCCAUCUUGCCCACAAUUUUAGCAGAUCAUCAGGAUACUUGCCAACAAGGUCACAGUGGACUCCAUGGAGCAACUGCCCUCAGGAGGCAACAGGUCACAGUGUUUGGACACCGCAUGAACAUGCCAAUUUCCUGUGUUGUAAUAUUUUUAUGCACUUUAAGAAGACCACCAGAAACAGCAGAGUGAGUGAAUGACUGAGGCGCAUAUUGGACAAAAAUCACUUAUCCAAGACCACGUUACUACAACCCCAGGGCACAGAAGCUAAGUCUUCCUAUUGUACUGAACUCAGUUGACUGGAAUUUGUUCAGGAAAGCAUGAAGUCAAAUGGAAGCUAGUCCGUGACUGGAUUCAUCUUUUGGUAAAAAACGAAGAGGAGACCCCAUAUCCUGGAGGUUCUUGCUUAACCCUGUCCCUAAUAAGACCUAACUUUAUGAGUCUUCUCCUUAGAGGCAGUCCUAGGGUAAGAGUGAUUAUUCCUGUGAGCCUUGUAGGUACUUUCGAAUCAAGGAAAUUAGUAGUUGAUUGCUAAUUAAUUCAGUAUUUAAUGAAUUUAAGUACCUAGGCAAUGAGGCCACAAUAGCAAAUAAGACACAGACCUGUUUUCAAAAAGUAGCCUGUAAAUAAGAUAUUUUUUUCUGCCAUGGUGGCAAAGGCAUGACUAUGGUGAUGAACAUUCAUAGGCUCACCUUCUAGCUCUGUUGUAUGUUAACUGUGUGAACUUGGGUCAAGUUAUGAAAACUCUAAGAACUCUCAAAACUCCUGAUCUGUUUUAACAUGAAAGUAAAGAUAUCUAAUUGAAUUGUUGUGAAACUUAAAUGUAAUGUGACAUCCAAAGAAUGUAGCCCAAAGUUGGAUUUCAGUAAGUGAUAAAUAGAAGUAUUUAAACAUGGGUAUGGUAUGUUCUGUAACAGAAGAAUGUCUAUGUGCUGGGGAUACCUAGAGACAGUGAAAAUUCUGUCUGGCCUGCGAAUUAU